rfam:Nicotiana attenuata strain TT chromosome 2, whole genome shotgun sequence.
UAUAUAUAUAUAUAUAUAUAUAUAUAUAUAUAUAAGCACGGUUUCGGUGCGGGCCGCGAGAGCGGUGCCAAAUCGAGGAAAACUCUGAAUACUAGAUAUGACCUCAAAAUAAGAGGGGGGCAAGGUCGGCUAGUGAGACGAUGGGGGAUAAGCUUCAUCGUUGAGAGGGAAAGAGCCCGGAUCACCAGCUAAGGCCCCCAAAAUGACCGCUUAGUGAUAAAGGAGGUAGGGGUGCAGAGGCAGAGGAGGUUUGCCUAGAGCAGCCACCCUUGAAAGAGUGCGUAAUAGCUCACUAAUCGUUCGGUAUUGUAAGUAAAUUAAUUGUAAAAAUCAAUUACGGAAUUGGACCAAAUUUGGCCCCAAAUCAGCAGCCCAAACGCGCCAAUUUGGU